UACGAAGGGUGCAAACGUUGCUCGGAAUCACUGGGCGUAAAGAGCGCGUAGGCGGGAUGGCAAGUCAGUCGUGAAAUCUCUCGGCUCAACCGAGAAACGUCGGCUGAUACUGCCGUUCUUGAGGGAUGCAGAGGAGACUGGAAUUCCCGGUGUAGCGGUGAGAUGUGUAGAGAUCGGGAGGAACACCGGUGGCGAAGGCGGGUCUCUGGGCAUCUCCUGACGCUGAGGCGCGAAAGCGUGGGGAGCAAACGGG
rnacentral:rRNA from 1 species